rnacentral:rRNA from 1 species
UACGUAGGUGGUAAGCGUUGUCCGGAUUUACUGGGCGUAAAGAGCGCGCAGGCGGUCGAUCAAGUCGCGUGUGAAAGCCCCCGGCUCAACUGGGGAGGGUCACGCGAUACUGAUCGACUCGAAGGCAGGAGAGGGUAGUGGAAUUCCCGGUGUAGUGGUGAAAUGCGUAGAUAUCUGGAGGAACACCGGUGGCGAAGGCGACAUCCUGGACCAACACUGACGCUGAGGAGCGAAAGCCAGGGGAGCAAACGGG